CCUUUCCAAUUGUCUUGUUUCCCAGCCCAGAGAAGCUAAGCAGCAGCAAACUGGAAGAGGGCAGAGGAGGUUGCAAGUCGGAAUCGCUCUGAUGGAAGAGAGAAAUGACAGCUGACAGCCUGACAGCUAGGGAGGUGACAGCAAAGCUUUCACCAGAAAUGAGGGGCUGCUGCCACUAGCUUGGAAUUGUCGGAUUUGUCUGCAAGGCCAGGACAGACUCAGUGGGGACUGCCUGCAGAUGCAACACAUGGAAAGGGACAGUAGAGGGUAUGGCUUAAACUGGGAGAAUGUUAAUCUCUAAAAGUUGUUUAUGAAUUCGCCAUGUUAAAGUGCUCUGCCUGGGGAAGAAGCCAGGAUAGGGAAACUGAGUAAAUGUUGUUCGACUUAAACUGGAUGCUGGAAGACCAAAAGAUAUGCUUUCCAAGAUGGCAUAUUCUGAGGGGCUGAUCUGCAGAAAAGGCCAAGUGAAAAGUCACCCAAUAAUGAGAAAGGAGGAAGAUGACAUGUAGAAUGCAUGAAUGGCCCCUCUGUCAUAGUUAGAAGAAACACAUUACAGAGAAAGAAACAUUUUGAAAGGCUAGAAGCUCAUUGAUCAUGAAACAUGAUGGCGCAUGGAAUCAGUGAUGUAAAUUGUGAAAUUUCUGCAGACCAUACAAGAAACAUAGUGUCAGCAUCUGCAGCUGGUGAGGGCUUCAGGAAAACUACAAUCAUGGCGGAAGAAAAACUGGGAGCUGGAAUAUUACAAGUGUGACACUCUGAGAUGUGGAUGUCUAUGUUCCUGCCUCUCUAAUCUGGGUGGGCUUAUGAUUGUGGCUACUGUGACUUUAUGUGACUUCAGGGACUGGAUCAUAAAAGGUGAUGCGGCUUCUCCAUAGAUCACUGGAGUACUUGAUCUGAAUUCCUAAGCUGCCAGGUA
rnacentral:lncRNA from 1 species